rnacentral:tRNA from 1 species
UGGCGGAGAAGCCCGCCGCUAUUGGGUCUAGCACUGCCUUCACACGGCAGGGGUCACUGGUUCGAUCCCAGUACCGCCCACCA